rnacentral:rRNA from 1 species
UACGAAGGGGGCUAGCGUUGCUCGGAAUCACUGGGCGUAAAGGAUGCGUAGGCGGGUCUUUAAGUCAGGGGUGAAAUCCUGGAGCUCAACUCCAGAACUGCCUUUGAUACUGAAGAUCUUGAGUUCGGGAGAGGUGAGUGGAACUGCGAGUGUAGAGGUGAAAUUCGUAGAUAUUCGGCAAGAACACCAGUGGCGAAGGCGGCUCACUGGCCCGAUACUGACGCUGAGGCACGAAAGCGCUGGGAGCAAACAGGG